CUGCGCAAGAAGGUACACAUACUCGGGCCAGGCCAUGAGCCGACUCACUAUGAUGAAGCCUGACGCUAAGUUGGAUCACACUGGGGCUUCAAUGAUAUGCUCUGCCCGGUGGCCUCCAGGAUCAGCCUCGACUCAUGAAGAACACCCAAGGGACCUGACUUAAUGAUGAGGAUGAUGUUGGAGGAAUCGGAGUGGUCACUGAAGAUCGUGGACUCGCAUCCGCCAUUGCUGGAAGUUUGAACUUCGAGAGGGCAGAGCGAUCCCGUAUGAGAAGACCACCGAUGUGAUCAUAGCAUUUUCUCUGGGCGUACCUUCUGGCACGACACCGCCAUCCGACACAAGUUUGGCCGGCGAAGCAGCUCUGCUUGCUCCGGCACUUACUUUGACGCCUCCGGUGGCUGUUGGUCCUCUUCUCUGCUCUCUCUCAAGCUCUAUGACACUUGAUACUUGUUGAGCAUUCUUGCUGGACGCACCUUCCGGGACCAUGGUGUCAUCCCACACUAGUUUGGCCGGCGAAGCAGCUCUGCCUGCUCUGUCGCUCACUCCAACGCCUCCCGCGCUGCCCCUCCGGUGGCCGCUUCCUCUU